CUAUGUGAAUAUGGAAGCUGAAAGGUCCCAAGAUCUGCAGUCGGCAAGCUGGAGACCCAGGAGAGCCAAUGAUAGAGUUCCAGUCUGAGUCUGAAGGCUAAAGACCAAUGUCCCAGCUCAAACACCAUUAGGCAGGGGAGGCAGCACUGCGCAUGUGCAAGACGCGAACCCACGUCUCCAGGAUGACCCGAGAACCAAGGACCUUCCGUCCACAGAAGUCAAAGAAUAGAAGUGUUGCCACCGGAGCCCUUUACGAAGCAAGAAGUCCUUCAAUAAGGAAAAUCUGGCCUCCUGCACCGCAAGGCUGUCUCCACUCCUCCUCUGCUUAUGGGGGAAUGAAAAUGGCCACCCCAGCCCUGAUUGGACAACAUCCUUCGUUUCACACGUCAGCAAUCAUGUGAGCAUGGUUUUGUGUCUUUUAUUUCUAAUUCUCCAGGCAGAGAAUUCUAGGCUUUUCACUGAUCUCUCAUAUUAAUCAGCCAAAGUCAAGUUGUUAUUAAAACAAAGGCAAGGAGGCUAUCCCUUUCAGUA